rnacentral:rRNA from 1 species
CCAAUAGCGUAUAUUAAAGUUGUUGCAGUUAAAAAGCUCGUAGUUGAACUUCGGGGUCUACCCAUUGGUCAGGCUUAAUUGUCUGUACUGGUGAGAUGGAUCUCUACCUUCUGAGGAACUUUCAUGCCAUUUAUUUGGUGUGAUUGGAAAUCAGGACUGUUACUUUGAAAAAAUUAGAGUGUUUAAAGCAGACUAUCGUCUGAAUACAUUAGCAUGGAAUAAUGAAAUAGGACGGACUGAUUCUAUUUCGUUGGUUUCUAGGAUCACCGUAAUGAUUAAUAGGGAUAGUUGGGGGCAUUAGUAUUCAAUUGUCAGAGGUGAAAUUCUUGGAUUUAUUGAAGACUAACUACUGCGAAAGCAUUUGCCAAGGAUGUUUUCAUUAAUCAAGAACGAAAGUUAGGGGAUCGAAGACGAUCAGAUACCGUCGUAGUCUUAACCAUAAACUAUGCCGACUAGGGAUCGGGCGAAGUUAAUUUUAUAAUGACGCGUUCGGCACCUUACG